CGUUGAGGAAAUAGGAGGGAUCGAAAGCUCAGUUAUGGUCAAGAGGAGCUAGUCGGGUCUCACCCAGUCGAAUCCGCUCACCAAUCGAUGAGAAAGAGGCCAUGGGAAUCUUGAACAAUACUUAUGGAACUGGGUCUCGAUGAUGAUGGAUUUUGAUAGGCAAAUACUUUUGAGCCUUUGAGAUUUCAAUGGCAUAUGUAUACAAAUAUCGGACCUUCUUCAAUGCUGGGGAUUGGUUUCUCUGACUUGAGACUUGGAUUAUUUUGGUCCUGAAGAUUACCCAAAUGAUCCUCAUGAAUGAAAGAAGGUCUAAACAUUAGGCGAUCAUCAUGCAAUGGAAGAUCAAGUUGGACUUUCUAAGGGUUCAGUUGCGCUUAGUUUUUACAGAAAGAAUAGGGAAUGAGGGAUUAGAAACAUUGUGAUCUUGUCAUCUGGGUUUAGGCAACUAUGUUUAUGUUGCUUUUAAAUAUGCAAAUUCAUAAAUCUCGUUUGAGUUUUCUUUUUAAUAUACAUGCUUUGUAACAUAUACAUAUUCUUUGUAACCAAAAUGAAAUACAUGUAGUACUUUGUAACAGAUACAUACUCUUUGUAACCAUCUUCUCUUCCAAAUUGAUGUAAUCAUAAAUAUUAUUUUGUCCAUG